GGCGGACGGGUGAGUAAUGCUUGGGAACUUGCCUUUGCGAGGGGGAUAACAGUUGGAAACGACUGCUAAUACCGCAUAAUGUCUUCGGACCAAACGGGGCUUAGGCUCCGGCGCAAAGAGAGGCCCAAGUGAGAUUAGCUAGUUGGUAGGGUAACGGCUUACCAAGGCGACGAUCUCUAGCUGUUCUGAGAGGAAGAUCAGCCACACUGGGACUGAGACACGGCCCAGACUCCUACGGGAGGCAGCAGUGGGGAAUAUUGCACAAUGGGGGAAACCCUGAUGCAGCCAUGCCGCGUGUGUGAAGAAGGCCUUCGGGUUGUAAAGCACUUUCAGUUGUGAGGAAAAGUUAGUAGUUAAUACCUGCUAGCCGUGACGUUAACAACAGAAGAAGCACCGGCUAACUCCGUGCCAGCAGCCGCGGUAAUACGGAGGGUGCGAGCGUUAAUCGGAAUUACUGGGCGUAAAGCGCAC
rnacentral:rRNA from 1 species